CUGCACAUUUCACUUCCUGGUUCUCUCUACUAUAAGAACUAAGGUAUGUCUGACGUGCUAGAGUAAGUCUGAAGGUAAAUUAGCAGAGUGGUGACACUGUGCCAACCUUGCCAGUCCCCUUCAUACAAAA
ensembl:snoRNA small nucleolar RNA SNORA19